AUUUAUAUCAAUGUAUGUCAAUGGCUACUUUCCCUUUUCCAUAUGAGUAAAAAUUUACAAAACACAAUCUCACGCAUUUAAAAAAAAUACGAAUCAUAAAAUGCAUAGUAUUUAACAUAAUAAGAAUCUAUACUGUAUAGCAAAUGUUAAAAGUGGUCAUUAGUCACUCCUGGAGCACAGAAGAAUGUUAUGCUAAUAUUCUACUGAGUUGACUAUGUUCAAUCAUUUAUUUAUUUAUUUUUUUAUUUUAGGUCAGUAGACAGGAAUUUCAGAAUGAAUUUGUAAUUUCUAUGCUGGGGUUACUCAGAAAACCAUAAAGGAUUUAUUCGGCUAGACAAAACAUUCCUACCUGCUCAAAAUCAAUUUUGAGAAUUCAAUUGACUCAUCACAGUUAUGUCAACAUGUCCGGGCAAGUAGGAUUCCGGAAAAGUCUGUCAAAACCUAGACAGAACAGUUGGUCAGCAGAGACAAAUGUGUCUGUAUCGAUAUUUAAUGGGGUGAUGAACCGCAAAAUGUGUGCACCUUAUCAGACUACUGGAAGGAAGACAUUAAAUGAAAUGCAACGGUAUUAUAAUCUCUGAUACAUUAUGACAGACACAUGACGUCUUGCUGGACUACAUAUUUAUGGACUUCCAUGAAAUUAUGGAUAAGGAAUCCACUUCUCAUUUCUCCUUAAUCCCACAAUAAAACUGACGCACAUGUUGUAGGAAUAGUGAACGUAAGCUGUUUUGUGGAGUUUAUUAUUAUACAAACAUAUUUUAUGAACGACGAGCCAACAGGUGUAUUUGACACUCUAUAGUUAAGCCGAUAUAGAAUAAAGGCUGGAAAUUCAAUUGCUGCUUCAUUGGACAUCAGACUGCAUGGUCAGUGGAUGAUUAGUCACUCAUUAAGGCUAUCGAUCACUUUUUAUGGAGUUACCGUUGCUGCACAUAUUUAGAGCAAAUGUCAUCAGAAAGGUAAUGCUAAAUGGUCAGUGACCCCUGCAAGUGAUGUCACCAAGUGUCGAGAUAUUUUGGAAACAAAUCAUACCUUUACAUCCAUGAUAGAUAGU